CUUCGCAAGAAUGGAUUGUACCAAUGCUUAUAUGCCUUCGAGACCUCUACUAUGAUCUCUUUAGGAAUCCUUCCUCAAAAGAUCUCAUCACACACAAAUCAGAUUAUAUGUUUAACACAUGAAUAAUCUGAUUUUUGGACAUGUAUCUCCUACUUUUCAUUUUCUCUCUUCUCUUCCUUUUCAUUUUUCUUCCUCUCUUUUUCUUUGUCUUUAUCCCAAAUUUUUUUUUCCUCUCAUUUUCAUGCCUAAUCUCAUCCAAAAUUGGCA
rnacentral:lncRNA from 1 species